rnacentral:rRNA from 1 species
GACGAACGCUGGCGGCGUGCUUAACACAUGCAAGUCGAACGGAAAGGCCCUGCUUUCGCGGGGUUUCAGAGUGGCGAGCGGGUGUGUAACAUGUGAGUAACCUGCCUUGGACGUGGGGACAACUUCAGGAAAGUGGGGCUAAUACCGGAUAGCAGCUCCUGCUGCAUGGUGGGGGUUGGACAGUUUAGGCGGUGGGGGAUGGACUCGCGGGUAACCAGCUUGUUGGGGGGGUAGUGGCUUACGAAGGCAUCGACGGGUAGCCGGCCUGAGAGGGGGACCGGGCUCAAUGGGCCUGCGAUACGGCGCAGACUCCUACGGGGGGCAGCAGUGGGGAAUAUUGCACAAUGGGCGGAAGCCUGAUGCAGCGACGCCGCGUGCGUAAUGACGGCCUACGGGUUGUAAACCGCUUUCGCCUGUGACGAAGCGUGAGUGACGGUAAUGGGUGAAGAAGCACCGGCUAACUACGUG